AGAGUUUGAUCCUGGCUCAGGACGAACGCUGGCGGUGUGCUUCACACAUGCAAGUCGAGCGAAUGAAGUAGGUAGCUUGCUACUUAUGGAUUUAGCGGCGGACGGGUGAGUAAUAUAUAGGAAUCUGCCUUAGAGCGGGGAACAACAGACCGAAAGGUUUGCUAAUGCCCCAUAGGUAUGCAGUCUUCGGAUUGUAUAUUAAAGGAGUAAUCCACUCUAAGAUGAGCCUGUAUCCGAUUAGCUAGUUGGCGGGGUAAAGGCCCACCAAGGCUACGAUCGGUAGUUGGUCUGAGAGGAUGAUCAGCCACAAUGGGACUGAGACACGGCCCAUACUCCUACGGGAGGCAGCAGUGGGGAAUUUUACACAAUGGGGGAAACCCUGAUGUAGCGACACCGCGUGAACGAAGAAGCCUUUUGGGGUGUAAAGUUCUGUCGGCUGGAACGAAAAAAAUGACGGUACCAGCAAAGGAAGCAUCGGCUAACUACGUGCCAGCAGCCGCGGUAAGACGUAGGAUGCAAGCGUUGUCCGGAUUUAUUGGGCGUAAAGAGUUCGUAGGCGGUUAUUUAAGUCUGAUGUUAAAUACUGUGGCCCGACCACAGAACUGCAUUGGAUACUGGAUGACUUGAGUGCGGUAGAGGCAAGUGGAAUUCCCAGUGUAGCGGUGAAAUGCGUAGA
rnacentral:rRNA from 1 species